rnacentral:rRNA from 1 species
CCUACGUGAGGCAGCAGUGAGGAAUAUUGGUCAAUGGGCGCGAGCCUGAACCAGCCAAGUCGCGUGAGGGAAGACGGCCCUAUGGGUUGUAAACUUCUUUUAUCAAGGAGCAAAAUGAGCCACGCGUGCCUUUCUGUAUGUACUCGAUGAAAAAGCAUCGGCUAACUCCGUGCCAGCAGCCGUGGUAAUACGGCGGAUGCGAGCGUUAUCCGGGUUUAUUUGGUUUAAAGGGAGGGUAGGGGGGUUGUUAAGGCAGUGGUGAAAUUUUGCGGGUCAAACGUAUACGAGCGUUUGAUACUGGUGGUCUUGAGUGAAGUUGAGGUAGGCGGAAUGCGUGGUGUAGCGGUGAAAUGCAUAGAUAUCACGCAGAACUCCGAUUGCGAAGGCAGCAUAC